rnacentral:rRNA from 1 species
UGCGUAGGCGGCGCGGUAAGUCGGGUGUGAAAUCUCGGAGCUUAACUCCGAAACUGCAUUCGAUACUGCCGUGCUUGAGGACUGGAGAGGAGACUGGAAUUUACGGUGUAGCGGUGAAAUGCGUAGAUAUCGUAAGGAAGGCCAGUGGCGAAGGCGGGUCUCUGGACAGUUCCUGACGCUGAGGCACGAAGGGUCAGGGGAGGCAAACG